UGGGUGAUGGUGUAGGCACGGGCAUGGGUGUGGGUGAUGCUGUGGGUGACAGUGAUGGUGCAGCCAUCCCCAUUCCUAAGGGCCGAGGCAGGUCACCCUGUGCUGAUGGGGUUGUGAUUCCCUCUCAGGCUCCCUCAGUGUUGCUCUGGGGAUCACUGAAUGAGUCGUUUGUCUCCAUCCUGUGUGUCUUCCGCAAUGCACACCUAAUGUUCUCUGCCAUUCAGAAGGAUCUGGGGGUACUGGCAGCCACAGGCCCCUCACUGCGUCUGAAAUCCACCAUGGUCUCUGGGGACCCACAAUGAACCACAAGAGGAAACCCUGAGCCUGUUUGCUGGGCAGAACCCCCACCCCGCCUGCCUCGGUGCCCUGACAGCACCGACCACUCAGGCUCCGGGGGCCCCAGCAGAGAAAGCUGUGAGCCAAGCCCCUGCUCAGAAGCCCCUCUUCCUGGGCCAAGGGCCUGUGACCAUCUUGUCUUCCCCGACAAAUCAGGCCCUCCCUGUGGCACUUAGAACUGUGUCCUCACAUCUCAGGGGCUCGGCAAACACCACUGACUUGAUGAUUACGUGACCACUUAGAGCCCAUGGGUGCUGCCUGUUGGCUAAGACCAGCCCGGAGGAAAUGGCCUGAUAUGCAGCCAGGCCCACUGGGGGUCCAGGCCGUAAGAGGACGCUCUAGCGUCCCAUGUCCCUGAGGCACCUCAGUCCGCCCAGGGCCUCGUGCUGAUGCAAAGGGGCUGGGGAAGCAGGGAGGCGAGAGGAUGGGAGGCAGGGACAGAGCCCAGCACAGGGCCCAGCUGCCUGCACCUGAGUGCUGGGGCCAGGGACAGACACGCCCAGGUGUCCUUGGCAUCCUCUGUGACCUCAGGGGCAGUGGGUUCUUGGAGGACAGGGACCCUGGGGGGUGGCACCAGCCACAUGCACCCAGGGGAAGCACUGCCCAGCAGAUGCCUUUUCAGACUCUGGCCUCCAGAACUGGGGGAACAUCCCUGUUUCAAGCCACCCCACUGUGGUUGUCCCACAGCAGCCCUAGGAGGCUGGCACCGGCGGGCGAGAGAAAUCACCCAUUUGGUCUUCAGGAAAUCAGAGAACAAAUAAAGUCACAGUAAACUCGAUUCCUGAAAUCCUACCACCACCAUAGCCCUGGGAAGAUGGGAUGGAACUGCAGAAAGUGGGUGGUUACAGCUCAAUGAGAACUGACCUGCAAAGCCACAAGGAUUUGUUGCCAUUCUCUGACUUAUCAGUGAACAUCAAGGAAAAGAUUGACUCUGAAGAGCCACCAUCCGAGAUCCAGGCAGACACGCUGUGGAAUGAAGGUCCUCGGUGAUAGGCACUGUGUGGCCUCCGACCAUCUGAGAUCCAGGCAGACACGCUGUGGAAUGAAGGUCCUCGGUGACAGGCGCUCUGUGACCUCUGACCGUCCAAGAUCCAGGCAGACACGCUGUGGAAUGAAGGCCCUCGUGACAGGCGCUCUGUGACCUCUGACCGUCCAAGAUCUAGGCAGACACGCUGUGGAAUGAAGGUCCUCGGUGACAGGCACUGUGUGGCGUCCGACCAUCUGAGAUCCAGGCAGACACGCUGUGGAAUGAAGGUCAUCAGUGACAGGCAUUGUGUGGCGUCCGACCAUCUGAGAUCCAGGCAGACACGCUGUGGAAUGAAGGUCCUCGUGACAGGCGCUCUGUGACCUCUGACCAUCUGAGAUCCAGGAAGACACGCUGUGGAAUGAAGGUCCUCGGUGACAGGUGCUCUGUGGCCUCCGUCUCAUCCUACCCUUCAGAACACCUGACCUCGCCCCUCUGGUAGACGCUUGCGCAUCCAGCGGCCAGCUCUUCCCUUGCUUUCUGGGAGAAACACCGUGACUUGUAGAAAUGACCACAAUAUUUUUUUAAAUGAAGCUAUGCAAAUCUGAUAGACUGAAGUAAAUGUUUCAUAAAACCAAUGACUGUUUAAAUUGUAGGACUAAAUUGUUUGUGUAUAAAUAUAACCUUUUAUAUUCCAUUUGAGUUUUAUGUAGAUGAGCACAUUACUUUAAUGACCUGCAUUUGCGGAGGGAGAGAGGGAGAGCAGCUCCCCGAAACCCCCACCAGCCAGAUGGCUGCCUUUUCUUGCAUGAGAUUAAAAGAUGUUUCUCAUUCAU